rnacentral:rRNA from 1 species
CCUACGGGUGGCAGCAGUGAGGAAUAUUGGUCAAUGGACGAGAGUCUGAACCAGCCAAGUAGCGUGAAGGAUGACUGCCCUAUGGGUUGUAAACUUCUUUUAUAAAGGAAUAAAACGAGGCACGUGUGCCUUUUUGCAUGUACUUUAUGAAUAAGGAUCGGCUAACUCCGUGCCAGCAGCCGCGGUACUACGGAGGAUCCGAGCGUUAUCCGGAUUUAUUGGGUUUAAAGGGAGCGUAGAUGGGUUGUUAAGUCAGUUGUGAAAGUUUGCGGCUCAACCGUAAAAUUGCAAUUGAUACUGGCAGUCGUGAGUACAGUUGAGGUAGGCGGAAUUCGUGGUGUAGCGGUGAAAUGCUUAGAUAUCACGAAGAACCCCGAUUGCGAAGGCAGCUUACUAAACUGUGACUGACAUUGAUGCUCGAAAGUGUGGGUAUCAAACAGGAUUAGAUACCCCUGUAGUC